rnacentral:rRNA from 1 species
GACGAACGCUGGCGGCGUGCUUAACACAUGCAAGUCGAACGAAGUGGCGAACGGGUGAGUAAUACGUGAGUAACUGCCCUCCUUUUUGGGAUAAGCCUUGGAAACGGGGUCUAAUACCGAAUAAAGGGGGAUGGGCUCGCGGCCUAUCAGCUUGUUGGUGGGGGGAUGGCCUACCAAGGCGGUGACGGGAAGCCGGCCUGGGAGGGGACCAGGCACAUUGGGCUGAGGUACGGCCCAGAGUCCUACGGGGGGCAGGAGGGGGGGAUAUUGCACAAUGGGCGAAAGCCUGAUGCAGCAACGCCGCGUGCGGGAUGACGGCCUUCGGGUUGUAAACCGCUUUCAGCCAUGACGCGGUAGUGGCAGAAGAAGCACCGGCUAACUACGUGCCAGCAGCCGCGGUAAUAC